rnacentral:lncRNA from 1 species
GAAAAAGAUAAUCUAGUUUGCUUUGCCAAAGGACAAAUUUCACAUGAAUGCUGAGAAUUAAACAUAAAAUAAGGAAAUUUUUGUGACAAAAGUCGAGAUGGUGCUUUGGAGGGUGUCCCAAUCAUUGAUGCCAAGUGAUGGCAGAUGGAAAGGAGACUUGAUAAGAUUUUGGUGGUGAAGAUAACAACUCAGAAUGUGGCUUAAGAUACUGCUUCCCCAUGCCAAUCAUCCUCUUCGUAGCUAGGUCCUGCAAUACACAAAAGGUAGGGAAAAAGUGAAUGGAACAAUUUAAAGCUGAUGUGAGUUGACUAACAGAGAGAAGAUUCACAUGAAAAGAAGGUAUACAUAGAACAUCUUUAACAUAUAAGUUGUUUGACAGAUGAGCUGACCCAAUACUUGUAAUUUUAGCAUGAGAGCCAUUUGGUAAAGAGACUUGAGAAGUCAUAGGAGGAGAGGUUUUACAUGUGACUGAAGUGGCUAUAUGAUUUGUAGCACCACUAUCAAUGAUCCAAUUCAUUGAAUUAAAAUUUUGCAAGGUGGAGGAUGAACAAAAAGGAGUAGAGAUGCCUGGAUAAUUUGCACGAGGAUUUUUACUGUUUCUGAAGAAGGCUUUAAUUUGUGACAAUUCUUCAGGAGUAAAUUGAAGUGGUGAAUAAGAUGUUUGAACUACCUUUAUAAGUGCUUGAGAGGAUUCAGUUCCUAUUUGAUUUGCAGCAAAUUUACGGGUUCGAUUUGGUGGUUGAACAUCCUUUUCAUGAAACUUGUGUCCAACAGGAAAACCAAUCAAAUAGUAACAUUUGUCUACUGUAUGACUGGUGCCAUCACAGUAAGUUCAGAAGAGUGGUUUCUCCGGCAAACGGGAGUUGGACUGGCGUUGGGAAUCAAAUCCUUGUUGUUUAAAAUUUGAUUGAGUUUUGACAUUCAUGGCAUGAGUCUGAUCUAUUCCCUUGUGUUCAACUAGCCCUCGUUGCUUUUCUUCCUCACAGAGAAGAGAAUAUGCUUUCUUGACUGUUGGUAAAGGUUGCAUCAGCAUAAUUUGCCCCCUGAUAGCUGAAUAUAUUUCAUGCAAGCCCAUAAGAAAUUGUCUGAGCCUUACUUUUUCAUCUCUAUCAUUUAGAUGUUUCAUCCCUCCACAAGUACAAGGAACAGGUGGGGUACACAUCUUCAAUUCAUCCCACAAGGUCUUUAUUUUGGUGUAAUAAGUGAAAAUGAAAUCUUGGUUUUGUUUUAAUUCAACGAUGAGGCGUUGAACCUGAUAAUGAUGAGAAAAAUCACCUUGUGAGAAGCGUUCUUGUAGAUCUGUCCAAAUUUCUGAAGGCGUUUCCACGUAGAGAACACUGUU